CUAAUUUGAUCUUAAUGCAUAAAUAUUGUAACACCCAAUUAUUGCCCGGUCCAACAAAAAAUAGAAACAGUCCAUAGUAUCCGAUUACAAACGGGCUAAAGGCCCAGACCAAAACAAAGCAGUGGCCCAAAUUACAAUGGCCUAAAACAGAUGAAACCCUAGGGUUUCUAAUCUUCAACAGCGCCGCAAGCCAAGCCUCGCCCCCGAAUCUCCGUGAUCUUCACCUGCAAGGAAACCAACAACAUAUGGAAAGAAAAUCAUGGAUUUGCAAAUCAAAGAUAUAACCAGAUUUUUUUUCUUUCUUUGAUUCAUUAUUAUCAUGGCUAUAAAAGGCCAUCGAACAUACUGUAAUGGGGGCCGACUUUCGAAAUCAAUAAAAAAACCCGAUUUUCACAGCACAAACGCAGAACCAAACGAAUCAAGGUUGUUAUUGCAGCUUUUAUUUAUUGUUGUAUUUAUUUAUUUUGUCAUUAUAUACAUACGAAUAAGAUAAAUAGAGGAAAAGAAAAGACACAACCUGUGUUUUGAAGCCCUAGAUCGCCGCGGAUGGCUGAGGCUGUCGUCCCCAAUGAAAGACAACCGGAAGCUGAAAGGUUUCAGUGCUUUUAGGGGUACUUUCAUUGGUGUUUUGUGGGAUUUAAGCCUACAUUUGGGCAAAGGAGGUCGAGAGGGCUAAAAGGGGAAUUUUUUCCUUGUUUCGGCAACCGCGUAUGGUGGUGCCGGCACCGGAGAUCGGCGGCCGGCGCGGUGGCAGAUGAAGGCCCAAUGACCGACCAACCGGAGGCCGGUGCCGGAGGAUGAGACCUUUUCUUUAAGGAAUUU
rnacentral:lncRNA from 1 species